CAGCAGCCACGGGAAUACGUAGGUGGCAAGCGUUGUCCGGAAUUAUCGGGCGUAAAGCGCGCGCAGGCGGUUUCUUAAGUCUGAUGUGAAAGCCCCAGGCUCAACCGGGGAGGGUCAUUGGAAACUGGGAAACUUGAGUGCAGAAGAGGAGAGUGGAAUUCCACGUGUAGCGGUGAAAUGCGUAGAGAUGUGGAGGAACACCAGUGGCGAAGGCGACUCUCUGGUCUGUAACUGACGCUGAGGAGCGAAAGCGUGGGGAGCGAACAGGAUUAGAUACCCCGGUAGUCCCUGUCUCUUAUAC
rnacentral:rRNA from 1 species